GGUUUUGUUUCUCUUUUUAUAUUUAAGAGUUAUAUUUCCUAAGCAAAAACAUUCAAUUCAUUUAAUCAGUGAUUAUCUAACAAAUAGAACCAAACGAUCUCCACCGCUAAGACCAACAAAUUUCUUUUGUCUUGCCGAACCGUCGGAGAAAAAAUUUUACUGCUGUCAUUUAUUUCGUUUCAUUCGGGGCUCAGUUUUUGGUAACUCUUUAAAGUGGCGUUUGAUUUUUCCGACAUGUUGAAGUUUUUGGUGAGCUUCUACAUUUUUGUGUUAUUAAUUACAAUUAUAUGGAAAUAACAUAACAUUCGGUGCUGGUAUAUACACUGGAAUAUACAUAAGUCAAAAUUAUGAGGUCCCCCGUGUCGAUGAACCUGGCAAGCUGGUCGAUAAAAUAAAGGAAUUCGCUGACGAGCAUCGGAAAAAGUAAUGAAUUCAAAUCGAAACUAAUUGUACUUUAUUAAAAUCACUUCAAUAAAACAAGAACUUGAUACAACAAAA